AACCCGACUCCACGAAGUUGGAUUCGCUAGUAAUCGCGCAUCAGCCAUGGCGCGGUGAAUACGUUCCCGGGCCUUGUACACACCGCCCGUCAAGCCGUGGGAGCCGGGGGCGCCUGAAGUCCGGGACCGCGAGGACCGGCCUAGGGCGAAACUGGUAACUGGGGCUAAGUCGUAACAAGGUAGC
rnacentral:rRNA from 1 species